rnacentral:misc_RNA from 1 species
GAUGAAGAACGUAGCGAAAUGCGAUAAGUAAUGUGAAUUGCAGAAUUCAGUGAAUCAUCGAAUCUUUGAACGCGCCUUGCGCUCCUUGGUAUUCCGAGGAGCAUGCCUGUUUGAGUGUCAUUAAUAUAUCAACCUUCUCUUUUUUGAGUUGUUUGGAUGUGGGGGUUUGCUGGCCUCUUAAAUGAUUCAGCUCCCCUGAAUUGCAUUAGCAGAACAACCUGUUCAUUAGCGUGAUAAUUAUCUAUGCUAUUGAAUGUGAGGGCAGUUCAGCUUUCUAACCGUCCUUGGACAAUUCAUCAUUAAUGUGACCUCAAAUCAGGUAGGACUACCCGCUGAACUUAAGCAUAUCAAUAAGCGGAGGA